rnacentral:rRNA from 1 species
CAAUAGCGUAUAUUAAAGUUGUUGCGGUUAAAAAGCUCGUAGUUGGAUUUCUGUUGAGAACAGCCGGUCCACCUCUUGGGUGAGUAUCUGGAUUGGUCUCGGCAUCCUCUCGAAACUCGUUGCUGCGCUUGAUUGCGUGGUGCGGUGUUCGGGACUUUUACUUUGAGGAAAUUAGAGUGUUCACGGCAGGCAUUCGCCUUGAAUAUAUUAGCAUGGAAUAAUACUAUAGGAUCUUGGUUCUAUUUUGUUGGUUUCUAGGGCUAAGAUAAUAAUCAAUAGGGACAAUUGGGGGCAUUCGUAUUACGGCGUCAGAGGUGAAAUUCUUGGAUUGCCGUACGACGAACUACUGCGAAAGCAUUUGCCAAGGAUGUUUUCAUUGAUCAAGAACGAAAGUAAGGGGAUCGAAGAUGAUCAGAUACCGU